CCCAGAGGAGCACGCACAGGGGGGAUCACAUGCAGCCUGGAUCACAUGGAACAAAAUGCGGAAACCAAGGCUUUCCCUUUUUAACGUAUCAUACAUUGACGACGGAUUACUUUAUUGUUCUGUGAUAGUUUCAAAAUAAAGGAGAGGCAGUGUAAUGUCACGGUAAAGCAACAGAUUGUUCUUCAGAGCCUGCAGAUUCAAACCACAGUUGAGGCAAUGGAAAUACUCCCUAUGUGCAUUUAUUAAAAAAUCUUCCCCCUUUCCCCUCAUUUGGAAUAAACAAUUGCCUUCACCAGCUGCACUUACUGUUGCAACCUCAGUAAUGAAUUUGGGAGGACGCAGACAGCAGGUGAUCUCCUCUGAAACGUGUAAUCUCGAGCUUCUUCUUCAUGUGGAUGCUGCAGAGCACAGUGUGAUUUCGCACAGACAUGAGUUGGAAGAAGAUGGUUCAAGUGCAGCUUGGGCAAGCAGACUGUAGGGCCUGAUUGACCAGCAGGGGUCAAUGCGGUGAGCAAUGAAACAGAGACAUCCCUGCAGAUUGAGUUCCUCCCUCCCUGGGCAAUGCUGCAGCCAGUUAUGCUUUGCCCGGCAUUAGCACAGUCCAGAUUCAAUAACAGGCCACAGGGCUAAGUCAUCCAUUGGGACAGGGCCUUAACAGAAUGAGCCACUCAGCAGAUCCUUGUUUAAAAAAAAUUAAAAAUAAAUAAAUAAUAAAUAUAUAUAUACAUUGAGUCCGCGAAAAACGGCCAGAGUUUGCUUUAAUACACGCAAGAAAUGGACAACCAGAACUAAGCAGAAGAAAAAGACUGAUAGCCUAUGAGUUUACAGUAUAAUCUAUGGUAUCCUCCGGGGCAUUCUAUGGAGAUUAAAUGGUGUGGAACUCCCCAUGGUCAGGACGGGCACCAAAACAAGCACAAUAAACAGUUUACUCCCAGCAUGACACUGCUGCGUGGGACUGACCACAGUGGUCAGACUGACUGAGUUCCCACAGUUAAUGGUCCCCUGUGUUCCAGCAGAAAAUGCAGACUUUCCACUUCAACAGAUCACUGACUGACUCAGCAUAUUUUUUUUAGCGGUAGCAGUUAAAAAAGAAGUAAGCUGUGCAAAUCAUCCCAAUUUUGUUUACUGUAAUAUAUUAUUCUUUCCGUAACAUUUUUUUUUGUGGUAUUUCACUUUGUUCAGAUGGCCAGUAGUUUGCUGUUAAUGUGCCAUUUUAUGAAUUUGAUCAUCCAUCUGUGUUUUGUAAGAAAUUGCAUUUGCAUACCCUCAAAGUGUACUUAAAUAUUGGUUAAAACACGUGGACGGUGCUGCCAUGUUGGGCUUCUCCUUUUUUUGCAAGCGGUGCAAUAUUCUGACCUUAAAAGCUGUCUUAAGUUGCCAUCUGCUGGCCAUAAAUUGAAGUGUCAUUUACUAAA